UGACCCAGCAGGGCGCGGCGCUGCAGAACUACAACAACGAGCUGGUCAAGUCAUAGAGGAGCUGUGCCAGAAGCGGGAGGAGCUGUGCCGGCAGAUCCAGGAGGAGGAGGACGAGAAGCAGCGGCUGCAGAAUGAGGUGAGGCAGCUGACAGAGAAGCUGGCCCGCGUCAACGAGAACCUGGCACGCAAGAUUGCCUCUCGCAACGAGUUCGACCGGACCAUCGCGGAGACGGAGGCCGCCUACCUCAAGUCCUGGAGAGCUCCCAGACUUUGCUCAGCGUUCUCAAGAGGGAAGCUGGGAACCUGACCAAGGCUACAGCCCCAGACCAGAAAAGUAGCGGCGGCAGGGACAGC
rnacentral:lncRNA from 1 species